rnacentral:rRNA from 1 species
AAUCCAUAGGUUAAUGAGGCGAACCGGGGGAACUGAAACAUCUAAGUACCCCGAGGAAAAGAAAUCAACCGAGAUUCCCCCAGUAGCGGCGAGCGAACGGGGAGGAGCCCAGAGCCUGAAUCAGCAUGUGUGUUAGUGGAAGCGUCUGGAAAGGCGCGCGAUACAGGGUGACAGCCCCGUACACAAAAGCGCAUGUGCUGUGAGCUCGAUGAGUAGGGCGGGACACGUGGUAUCCUGUCUGAAUAUGGGGGGACCAUCCUCCAAGGCUAAAUACUCCUGACUGACCGAUAGUGAACCAGUACCGUGAGGGAAAGGCGAAAAGAACCCCGGCGAGGGGAGUGAAAAAGAACCUGAAACCGUGUACGUACAAGCAGUGGGAGCACAGGUUUACCUGUGUGACUGCGUACCUUUUGUAUAAUGGGUCAGCGACUUAUAUUCUGUAGCAAGGUUAACCGAAUAGGGGAGCCGGAGGGAAACCGAGUCUUAAUUGGGCGUUAAGUUGCAGGGUAUAGACCCGAAACCCGGUGAUCUAGCCAUGGGCAGGUUGAAGGUUGGGUAACACUAACUGGAGGACCGAACCGACUAAUGUUGAAAAAUUAGCGGAUGACCUGUGGCUGGGGGUGAAAGGCCAAUCAAACCGGGAGAUAGCUGGUUCUCCCCGAAAGCUAUUUAGGUAGCGCCUCGUGAAUUCAUCUCCGGGGGU